AGAUUGAACGCUGGCGGCAUGCCUAACACAUGCAAGUCGAACGGGAGUAGCAAUACUCUAGUGGCGGACGGGUGAGGAAUACGUAGGAAUUUGCCCUUAAGUGGGGGAUAACCCGGGGAAACCCGGAUUAAUACCGCAUGACCUCGAAAGAGCAAAGUGGGGGAUCGCAAGACCUCACGCUUUUGGAGAAGCCUACGUCGGAUUAGCUAGUUGGUGAGGUAAUGGCUCACCAAGGCGACGAUCCGUAACUGGUCUGAGAGGAUGAUCAGUCACACCGGAACUGAGACACGGUCCGGACUCCGUACGGGA
rnacentral:rRNA from 1 species